rnacentral:rRNA from 1 species
UAGGGAAUAUUGGACAAUGGGGGCAACCCUGAUCCAGCCAUGCCGCGUGAGUGAAGAAGGCCCUCGGGUUGUAAAGCUCUUUUGUCCGGAAAGAAAAGCAUUCGGUGAAUACCCGGAUGUUCUGACGGUACCGGAAGAAUAAGCGCCGGCUAACUUCGUGCCAGCAGCCGCGGUAAUACGAAGGGUGCAAGCGUUACUCGGAAUUACUGGGCGUAAAGCGUGCGUAGGUGGUUGUUUAAGUCUGAUGUGAAAGCCCUGGGCUCAACCUGGGAAUGGAAUUGGGAACUGGGCAGCUAGAGUGCGGUAGAGGGUAGUGGAAUUCCCGGUGUUGCAGUGAAAUGCGUAGAUAUGCGGAGCAACACCGAUGGCGAAGGCAAUCCCCUGAGCCUGCACUGACGCUCAUGCACGAAAGCGUGGGGA